AUGCAACUGAGUUCAGGCCGGGGGACUGUGAGCGAUGUACUCCACUUCCAGGCUUGGGCUAAUUACCUCCUAUGUGCGGUCCUAGCUCCUUGUUCUUCUUCCACAGCGGAUGUGCAUGAGCACAGGACUUGGAUGCUACUUACUGAAGGUAGUAAAGCCAGAAGAUGACAGAUACCUGGGUCUCUCAGUCUCUCUACACGGCUCACUCAUUUUGGACUUUUCAUGAGCAAAAAGUAAACUUUUAUCAUACACUUUUUCUGCAGUGUCAACAUCAUCUUCAUCAUUACUAUUACUACAAUCACCUUGAUUCAGAACCCAUCAGUCAAUGAAUGAACAACUGGAGCCUCACUAUUGGUGUGAAUAAUUUCUUUGAUAUCCACUUCUUCCAGCUUGCUGAUAGACUCUGAAGUAUCCUCAGCUCUUGGCCCAGUGAGUCUUCUGUGCAUGCUGCUGGGGGAAAUCAGCCAGAACUGCUCUGCUGGACAAGAUUCUCAGAAUAGAGGCUGCUAACAAGCCCAGAUGGCAGUUGCAGCCAUCUUGUGACUAGAAGAAGAGGAAGCUCCAUACUCAGGGGCUCCAGAACACUAGAGUCACAGUCCUGAGACACAUACCUGGAGGCUGCCCUGCGUGUGGACUUCGGUAUGUUUAAUAAUAAAUUUCUUAAUAUUUUAAGCCAGUUUUAACUGUGUGUCUUACACUUAAAGCCAAAUGUGCUCUAACUGUAAAAAGUAAGAUGGGGGAAUACUAAUUCUCAUUAUAAUCUUCUCCAACCAACUUUUAAAAAAUAAAUUCUACUGUAUAUAUUUGAGGUAUACAACACAAUGUUAUGAGAUAGUAAAACGAUUACUGUAGUAAAGCAAAUUAACAUAUUCAUCAUCUCACAUAGUUAUCUAUUUUUUAUGGCAAACACAGCUAAAAUCUACUCAUUUGGCAAAAAUCCUGAAUACAAUACAAUAUUAUUAACUAUAGUCCUCAUGCUUUAAAUUAGAUCUCUAAACUUGUUCAUCCUGCAUAUCUGCUACUUUAUAUCCUUUGAACUACAUCUUCCCAUUUUCUCCCAGCUUCCAUUGAUUUUCUUC
rnacentral:lncRNA from 10 species